GGGUGAACUCUCCCUUUAAUAUGAUGUCACAACACCAGGAGAAUCCAAACUUAUUCAACACAGAGGGCAUAAUUAAUACACAGUCUCUUUAUUAAAACUAUGCACAUUCUCAGUCUUUUUAAAAGCAGGAAUGUCAUUUCACUAAAAAGGAACCAGUGUAGCCAGCUGCAAUAGAAUUGACUGUAACAAACUGAAGAGCAUGAUGACAGCUUAAGUUGAAUGGGUUAGUGUUUGUGGAAACCACUAUUUGCAACACCUCCUUGAGAUCUGCAGUACAAAAAAGGUCUCAGUGUUUUGCUGACACUCUUUCUUGGCUGCUCGCUCAUGCUGUUCAUGACUCCCAGCACACGAUGAGGAUCCAUUUGAAGUCCGUACCAUAUUUACUCACACUUACCUGAGGAAAUCUAACUGCUGGUCAAAAUUUGUGACACAGCCCUGCAAAAGUCCACAUUAAAGUGAAAUCAGAAUUGCAAAAAAGUUGUCAUAAGAAAGGGGGGAAUGAGAGAAACUCUGAACUCUUGCAGUCACAUAGCACAAAUACAUGAUACACUUUGGAAA
rnacentral:lncRNA from 1 species